rnacentral:rRNA from 1 species
UACAGAGGUCCCAAGCGUUGUUCGGAUUCACUGGGCGUAAAGGGUGCGUAGGUGGCUUGGUAAGUUCGAUGUGAAAUCUCCGGGCUUAACCCGGAAAUGGCAUUGAAUACUAUUGAGCUGGAGGUUUGGAGGGGGGACUGGAAUUCUCGGUGUAGCAGUGAAAUGCGUAGAUAUCGAGAGGAACACCAGUGGCGAAGGCGGUUCUCUGGGCAUUACCUGACGCUGAGGAGCGAAAGUGUGGGGAGCGAACAGG